CUUAUGUUAUAAGGUACCACAAUUUUCAGCCGGACAGAUAGAACUCAAAGAAGUUUCUGUAGUCGGCUGAUACGUAUGUAGUAUGCACCGCAGCCAUAUUUGUAGUUCUUGGUAGUGCCCCCUACUCGUUAACACGAGAUUAUUCCCAAUUACAUCUCAACAUCUCCAAAUGUACCACAAAUAUAUAACUAUUAUGAGUCCCAACUAGACGACCCCAGCUUUCCAAGUAGCCGAUCUCUUGCAUUCGUACUAAAUUUGUUCUCUUUUCUCGUCAGGCCGUGGCAACCCGAGCAGUAAUGGAUGGACAUUCAUCAUUUUUAAUCGUUAACAUUACUACAAAUAUUCUCUUUUCUAAUCAGGGAGUGGCAACACAACGAUCAGUUGCCCACGAUCAUCAUUUUACUUCUGUGCAUAAAAUAUUAAUUCUCUUUUCUCUUUAGGAGGUGGCAACACAAGCAACACAAGGUGGCAACACAAGCAUUAUAGUUGCCAAACACUCAUCUUUUUACUUCUCUGCAUUGAUCUUAAUUCUUUCUCUCUCCAGGAAAUGGCAGUAUAAGAACGAAUGCCAAACACGGACAGUAAUUAUUAAUUUUUUUUUUUUUCAGGUUGCUGAGCGCUUCUGUCUAUUCAACAUGCGUUUUGUGUAGCAAGACAGGUAGAGAACCAGGCUGGUUCAAAUAGACACGGGGUUCAACUGCUAGAAUAAUAUGUCUAAUUAAUAAAUGGUACACAUGGUUUUAAACGGCGCCCAAGGAGGGAGUUAGCUCAACUGCGGUAGACACAAUUACAAUACGUUUUUUGCGAAUAUUAAAGGUACAUGGGUUAAAUUCUACAAUAAUCAGCUACUACAGACGAAUAGACUGAAUAACACUGCGUGAGGUGUUCAAGGGUCAACUAUUGCUUCCAUUGGAGCGAUUGCAAUAGAUAUAAUAUCAUACCACCAAUAUGCAUGCAAUAUCUUGUAUUCAACAAUUAGGAAUGCCGGUUCCAGAACCGAAAGAAGUCCUACAAAAGGACACCAACCCAGGGGUCUUGCAUCAAACCAGAUCCCUAUACGACAGUUACACGGUGAUCUUAAGAUAGGAAUAAUUAUCUAAACUCCGCAUCAUGAACGGUUAGCCUUUAAAGUUGUCCAUAGCAUGCAUACCGCUCGUCCACAGAAGUCCGGGGAUUAACCAGGCCUGGGAAUUCUUAUUAGAAGAGUUUUGGGAUAACCUGCCUCAUAGGAGAGCAGAAGAGUCCCCCCCAAUAGAGGAUCCUGAGGACAAGCGGUAGAAAUGCAUAGUUCAACAAACCUGACGAGGUCCAAAAAUACCAAAAUAAGAACGAUUAAAAUAUAUAUUUCAUUACAAACUAUAAAAAACGUUACGGUAACAACAGAAGUAUGAUGCCUAAUAUUGAAAUGCAGAUUUUUAAUAUUAAGAUAUUUUUGAUAAUGUUCAAAUUUAAGUUUUGUAUGUUUGUAUUUUCCCAUGUGGUCUUGUCACCCUGUUAUUCUGCAGGGUCGUUCAAAAUCCUUUGAGGUUAGUGGAAAUCAGUUCUCACUCUGUUCCUUUGUUGUCCUGUGUUGGUUUGGGCCCGUUAUCCUUGAUCCCCAGAGAAGCGCAGAGACGCAAGUGAUAAGGAACGGCCAACCCCAUAUUUAUGACAUCUUAAGGAAUGAUGACUUAGAUGACCAUAUGGUUAACAAAGGCUUUUGGUUUGUUGUGAGGCAGCUGUCCUCAGCAACACUUCUGAAUGUGUAAGAACUCCUGGCCACUCAGCAGACCUCUCUGCGGACCCUUUAGAAAAUAAAGGGCUCCGCAGGAAGAAAUCCCAUCUGAGGUCUCAAAUUGUUGAAUAAUAAACUUAUUUUUAGGUCUGUUGAUGCAUGUUAUGACUCAUCUUCGUUCGUGCUUUUCUUACGAAUGUGUAUAUUGAGAUAAAAAUAAAAUGAAAAUAAAAAUAAGUAAAAAUAUAGAAUGAAAACAAAUGGUGGAUUCAUAUACCAUGUGCGAAUGUCCUCUUGUGUGUGUCAGAGCCACCAAAAUAAUGGAGGUUACUCGACUGUUACAUACACGAGGGGAUAUUGAAAACAUGUCACAUAUAAAACUAAGACAAUUAGAAAACGAUUCAUUAUAAUUAACUUGUAAUAACAUUUGCUUCACCCAAUAACUUCUGAAUUUUUCUUUUAGGUUCAGUUUUGUUUUGUUUUAGAAUAUCACCAUAUAUUUAAUGCCCAGAUGUGCAUAAUUCGGAUGACUCUUAUUCUACCUAGUUUAGAAACUUUUAAUUGCCCUGGCUCAAGAUUCCCCCAUAGACUUGGUGUCAGACGUUGGAUUGUGGCGCUCCUUGGGAGCCUCCGGGCCACCACGCGUUAAUCGACUAAUCGUUCCUGCGGGUUCUGGGGUGGUGACGGUGGAGGUCAAUGGGAGGCUCCGGGAGAAUUCACAAUAACAGGCUCCUUCGGGGAGAAUUCAAGUGGGCCAGGAUUAAAAGGUUGAAUUAAUGUAUCGAUUUGAUGUUGACCAACAAAAAACUAGAUAAUUGUACAUAGGAGUGAUCAAGUGUGGACAACAUCAAAUGCGAACAAUACGUAGAAUAAAUGAAGAUUAGGUCAUCCAAUAUACAUAGAUAGUGUAGGACAAUCGGGUAGUAUAAUGAAGGUAACUGUUGGAACCAGAUACGGUUACAAAGAAGUGAUGUUGAACAUACAAAUUUUAACAUUGUAAUUUCCCUUUUUUCAUCAUUUUGGGUUUAUAAGAUAAGAAAUGGGUUAGCAAUACAUCUGCUCGCCAGGGACAAUAUAGGCUCAAUUUAGAUUCAGAAGUAGUAGGUUAACCUUUCAAAUGCCACUGCUACUGCUGUAACGCUUUGAUACAACGUCAGCGUCUCAUAGUCUGAUAUUUAUUUUUACUCUGAUAAGUUACGGCGCAUCUGACCCAUGAAACAUUUACGGUUUACUGCAUUUAACUACAGCGUGGUCUCAAGACGGCUGCAUAGACCCACAACUAUCGACCUUUGGUUUGGUAUGUACUGGUCUUCAUAUAUCUUCAUAAUGGAUUGGUUUAGGUACAGAUGAUUAAGGAAAGGAACUUCAACUUGGUUGCACUCAGCGUUGUUAGGAUUGGUUAAUUCUAAUGCGCAUAGCUGAAGCAAUGCGCAAGGAGGGAUGUAGUGUGAAUAUUAAAUCAAGGUUGAAGGUUGAAAUCAGCUCAGAAUAAGGAAUGGGACACUCAAAACAAAAAUUUAAAAUCCGCACAAGCACUAAAUAGAUCAAUUAUAAUACAAACAUGUUUGAAACGCAUACAAUUUUCAGGUCCUAUGUUUCCAGAAGCAAGGUGAGUACAGUGUAUCACUCUGACACAGCUAACUUUGCAUCUAAUGCUUACGGUUAGAUUCAUGCUUACACUUACAUUUCUAGGGUCCCAUAAUGGACUUCCAUUAGAACAAUUAAAAAUAGAAUUAUAGGAAAUGUUUUUGAACAACUAACUGCUGUACAUGAGUUUGUAUUUCUACAAUAGAAACAAAAGUUCCAGAACCAAAUGCAGACACACCCGAGCCGAUAAACUGCCUCCGCCGAGCAAGGAGCAGUCACAUGAGGAGAUCAAAUAACGGCAGGAGUUGAAUUGGUUCUGUUUUGCUUGUCCACCAUAUAAAAAUUAUGUAUAUAUAUAUUGUUUAGAUAAAUUACAUGUAUCAUAAUCAGCAACACUUCGUUCAGUUUAACAGAUAAAGUUAAAAGGAAUAUGUAUAUAUAUGGAAAUGUUAUUGACAGAGCAAGGAGGGAUAAAUGCGAUAGGCACAACGUGUUGUAGGCCAACUUUAUCCCCAAUAACACAGCUCUGGAUGGGUUGCUGGCAUAAUUACAAUCCCUCAGGUUAGAAUUGGCAGAGAACUCCGGCAUUAAUGACCAUUUCACAGGUUGGAUGGAGAAUAUGUUUGGGAGGUGGAAAAGCAUGAUCCAGUAAGUGCCCGUUGCGGGAAUAAAUGCAGAGACCGUGUUAAUUGUCACCGGCUGCCGUUGUAUUCCCUGUGCACGAGGGCUACUGCAUCUGCUGAUCCCCACAGCAGUAGGCGCUACAGAAGCCCCAAGUGCCAUUCAGGCUUACAUGGGGAUCAGAUAUGAUCCGAUGAAAGUGAAUGAUACAUCACCUGAGAGGCCCGACCAUAUCCAGCUGUAAUAUGUAGAAUAGUCAACACCUAUACUAUUCUAGUAGAAGUGCCUGUAUAUAAGAUAAUCAAUAUCCCGGAUUUACUUGAAUAACACAUUUCUAACAACCAUACAGGCUGUUUGUUAUUGUAUAGUGUUGCAAAUGCAACCCGUUAUUUCUGAAUCGCUGCAUUGAUAAUGGUACUGUUGAUCUUUGAGACGGUUGUUUACAGGCCACCUGUUGCUGACACGACGACGGAGAACCUGUGAGGAGGCUCCCAUGGUGUAGGAGUAACCUCUCUGAGAUGAGCCCUUGACAAGGAGGGACGAGUCUUGGGUUCAUGAAUUACAAACCCGACGGCGACAGUAAAAACAAUGACUACAAUAAUAACAUCGCCCAAAACCACCCACAGGAACCGGCACACUAAUACACGAAGAUCACUUGAACUCCCCAAAUCCAUGCCCAAACCACCCACAUGAACCGGCGCACCAAUACACGAAGAUCACCUGAACCCCCCAAAUCCAUGUUAGCUUAUCAAUCCUUUUGAAAUUUUAAAAAUUGUAUUAUGACCACCAAUUUUUACGUUACUUUUGCACCUGUUGAAUAUUUUAUGACCUUGUAGCACAUGACCAAAAGUAUUAGCUCAGGAUUUCUAUUGAUGGUUUUGUUUGUGUGCUGUUUGGCCAUGUGAUUGUAUGAUAACAAGAUUCAUGUUCAUUGUUGUAUUGUUAAAUAAUGACCUGUAUUUUCAACAAGACCCACAACGUGAAUGCCGUCUCAGUAUUAUGGGGACGCGUAGUGGUUUUUCCCCUCUCUUCAAGAGGUCUUUCCGCGACGGUUGAUGGUGUUGAUGAUUGAUCCUACUUUGACUAUGUUUUCGGUGUGGUAAAUGGUGUUUAUGAUUUAAAAUAUUAUUGUAUGGUCAUCUAAGAUGACCAAGGAGGGACUGUUACGUAUUUUAAGAAUCUAAGCCACCCACACAUAGACCCAAUGAUGCAGGACCAAACAUAUAAGCUGCGUUACCCUCACAUAGCCACAAGGGGAGCAUGAUGUUAUUGAAGGCUGCUCCCUCUUCACCUUUAAUUAAGUGAAGAAGCCGAAGCCAUAACGUCACCCCGGCCACGCCCACUAGGCAACGCCCACUUCAUAGGCCACACCCACUGGACGUCCUGUACGGAGGACGUCGAGUGAACAGGCCAGAGUUCAAUAGGUAGACGGCGCAGCAAGCCACCCGGGCCUUAGCCCGGGGGGCUUGAAGUAGAUCACGGUAUUUUCCUCUCACUCGCGUUAGAAACAAUUCCCUCCGUAUAGCUUCAGUUACCAUACCGAAACAUGCCGAC
ensembl:lncRNA